rnacentral:rRNA from 1 species
AACAUGGAGCGAAUCUCAAAAAGAUAGUCUCAGUUCGGACUGUGGGCUGCAACCCGCCCACACGAAGUUGGAGUUGCUAGUAAUCCCGAAUCAGCAUGUCGGGGUGAAUGCGUUCCCGGGUCUUGUACACACCGCCCGUCAAGCCAUGGGAGUUGGGAGUGCCCGAAGUCGGUGACCUAACCGUAAGGAAGGAGCCGCCUAAGGUAAUACCAAUGACUGGGGUUAAGUCGUAACAAGGUAGC